rnacentral:snRNA from 1 species
AUCGCUUCUCGGCCUUUUGGCUAAGAUCAAGUGUAGAAUACAAUCUGUUUGUAAUUAAACUGUUUGUAACUCAGGCCUCAUUUUCCCUUAAUGUUGUAAGUAUGGUUAAAGUUCCUACAUUAACCCAAAAAGAUUAUUUAGUCAUGCUAUUACUGAAUUCUAGUCACAAGAG